ACACUGCUGAGGAGUCCCACAAGAGGACAAAACGGCCUUCCAGUAU
rnacentral:hammerhead_ribozyme from 1 species